rnacentral:rRNA from 1 species
AUUGAACGCUAGCGGCAUGCCUAACACAUGCAAGUCGAACGGAGUGGCGGACGGGUGAGUAAUGCAUAGGAACGUGCCCAGUAGUGGGGGAUAACUACGGGAAAGGGGCGCUAAUACCGCAUACUAUUAGAUUGGCCUCUAUCGGAUUAGGUAGUUGGUGGGGUAACGGCUCACCAAGGCGACGAUCCGUAGCUGGUUUGAGAGGACGAACAGCAACACUGGAACGGAGACACGGCCCAUACUCCUACGGGAGGCAGCAGUGGGGAAUAUUGGACAAUUGGGGAAACCCUGAUCCAGCCAUCCCGCGUGUGUGAUGAAGGCCUUCGGGUUGUAAAGCACUUUUAGCAGGAAAGCGUUACCUGCAGAAUAAGCACCGGCUAACUACGUGCCAGCCGCCGCGGUAAUAC